GACGGAGGGUGCAAGCGUUGUUCGGAUUGACUGGGCGUAAAGGGCGUGUAGGCGGUUGCCCAAGCCCGAUGUGAAAGCCCGAGGCUUAGCCUCGGAAGUGCAUCGGAAACUAGGCAGCUGGAGCGCGAUAGAGGAGGGUAGAAUUCCUGGUGUAGCGGUGAAAUGCGUAGAUAUCAGGAGGAAUACCGGCGGCGAAGGCGGCCCUCUGGAUCGUUGCUGACGCUGAGACGCGAAAGCGUGGGGAGCAAACAGG
rnacentral:rRNA from 1 species